rnacentral:rRNA from 1 species
GACGUAGGGCGCGAGCGUUGUCCGGAUUUAUUGGGCGUAAAGAGCUCGUAGGCGGCUCGUUGCGUCAACCGUGAAAACCCGGGGCUUAACUUCGGGCUUGCGGUUGAUACGGGCGGGCUGGAGUUCGGUAGGGGAGACUGGAAUUCCUGGUGUAGCGGUGAAAUGCGCAGAUAUCAGGAGGAACACCGGUGGCGAAGGCGGAUCUCUGGGCCGAUACUGACGCUGAGGAGCGAAAGCGUGGGGAGCGAACAGG